CCGAGUGUGAGGGCAUAUAGCCCUCGCUUUUCUGUACCGUAAGGUGGUACAGGAACAAGGACUGGGCAAGACCGGUGCCAGCCGCCGCGGUAAUACCGGCAGUCCGAGUGAUGGCCGAUAUUAUUGGGCCUAAAGCGUCCGUAGCUUGCUGUGUAAGUCCAUUGGGAAAUCGACCAGCUCAACUGGUCGGCGUCCGGUGGAAACUACACAGCUUGGGGCCGAGAGACUCAACGGGUACGUCCGGGGUAGGAGUGAAAUCCUGUAAUCCUGGACGGACCACCAAUGGGGAAACCACGUUGAGAGACCGGACCCGACAGUGAGGGACGAAAGCCAGGGUCUCGAACCGGAUUAGAUACCCGGGUAGUCCUGGCCGUAAACAAUGCUCGCUAGGUAUGUCACGCGCCAUGAGCACGUGAUGUGCCGUAGUGAAGACGAUAAGCGAGCCGCCUGGGAAGUACGUCCGCAAGGAUGAAACUUAAAGGAAUUGGCGGGGGAGCACCACAACCGGAGGAGCCUGCGGUUUAAUUGGACUCAACGCCGGACAUCUCACCGGUCCCGACAGUAGUAAUGACAGUCAGGUUGACGACUUUACUCGACGCUACUGAGAGGAGGUGCAUGGCCGCCGUCAGCUCGUACCGUGAGGCGUCCUGUUAAGUCAGGCAACGAGCGAGACCCGCACUUCUAGUUGCCAGCAACACCCUUGUGGUGGUUGGGUACACUAGGAGGACUGCCAUUGCUAAAAUGGAGGAAGGAACGGGCAACGGUAGGUCAGUAUGCCCCGAAUGGACCGGGCAACACGCGGGCUACAAUGGCUCUGACAGUGGGAUGCAACGCCGAGAGGCGACGCUAAUCUCCAAACGGAGUCGUAGUUCGGAUUGCGGGCUGAAACCCGCCCGCAUGAAGCUGGAUUCGGU
rnacentral:rRNA from 1 species